UACGUAGGCAGCGAGCGUUGUUCGGAAUUACUGGCGUAAAGAGUGUGUAGGCGGUGCUCUAAGUUCGGUGUGAAAUCUCCCGGGCUUAACUGGGAGGGUGCGCUACAAACUGUCUGACUAGAGUGUGGGAUGGGUGAAGUGGAAUUCCUGGUGUAGCGGUGGAAAUGCGUAGAUAUCAGGAGGAACACCGGUGGUGUAGACGGCUUACUGG
rnacentral:rRNA from 1 species